rnacentral:rRNA from 1 species
ACGAACGCUGGCGGCGUGCUUCACACAUGCAAGUCGAACGGUGAACUCCGCUUGCGGGGGGAUCAGUGGCGAACGGGUGAGUAACACGUGGGCAACCUGCCCUCAGCUCUGGGAUAACUCCAAGAAAUUGGGGCUAAUACCGGAUAUGACCGCUGACCGCAUGGCCUGGUGGUGGAAAGAUUUAUCGGCUGGGGAUGGGCCCGCGGCCUAUCAGCUUGUUGGUGGGGUAGUGGCCUACCAAGGCGACGACGGGUAGCCGGCCUGGGAGGGUGACCGGCCACACUGGGACUGAGGCACGGCCCAGACUCCUACGGGAGGCAGCAGUGGGGAAUAUUGCGCAAUGGGCGCAAGCCUGACGCAGCGACGCCGCGUGGGGGAUGACGGCCUUCGGGUUGUAAACCUCUUUCAGCAGGGACGAAGCGAAAGUGACGGUACCUGCAGAAGAAGCACCGGCCAACUACGUG